CAAUAAUGCAAACUCCAUUUGUAUAGACUCCAACCAUACGAACUGCAAUCAGGGGAAGGUGCCAAUCUCCCGAAUGGGACCCGUAUGGGUGCUCCAACUCCCGAACGGUAAACCCACGAAUCGCCACUAACAGCCGAAUAAAUAUAUCCUCCAAGCUGCUUACGCUUCUGGCAAUCAGUCUCUAACCGCGUGUAGUAAACUAUGCCGGAAGGAAAACUAAAAGACCAUGCC